AGUGAACGCUGGCGGUAGGCCUAACACAUGCAAGUCGAACGGCAGCACAGUAAGAGCUUGCUCUUACGGGUGGCGAGUGGCGGACGGGUGAGGAAUACAUCGGAAUCUACUUUUUCGUGGGGGAUAACGUAGGGAAACUUACGCUAAUACCGCAUACGACCUACGGGUGAAAGCAGGGGAUCUUCGGACCUUGCGCGAUUGAAUGAGCCGAUGUCGGAUUAGCUAGUUGGCGGGGUAAAGGCCCACCAAGGCGACGAUCCGUAGCUGGUCUGAGAGGAUGAUCAGCCACACUGGAACUGAGACACGGUCCAGGCUCCUACGGGAGGCAGCAGUGGGGAAUAUUGGACGAUGGGCGCAAGCCUGAUCCAGCCAUACCGCGUGGGUGAAGAAGGCCUUCGGGUUGUAAAGCCCUUUUGUUGGGAAAGAAAAGCAGCAGGUUAAUACCCCGCUGUUCUGACGGUACCCAAAGAAUAAACACCGGCUAACUUCGU
rnacentral:rRNA from 1 species